UUUUUUUUUUGAAGUUUUUUUUUUUUUUAAAGUAUUCAAGCAUUUGUCAUGUUUGUGUGCUUUAAUCACCAAAAAAUUCCAACUUUAAAUAAAUUCCAGAAAAUUCAUUAACUAAUCAAAUUUCAACAAAAAUUUCAUCGUUAGAAGAUUUUGACAGAAUCAGUUGCACUACCCAUUUACCAUCAUAUACAGACGUGCAAUGUUUGGAGCCUCCAUUACUCACCAAACUUGUCUGCUGACAUGUAACCAUGACAACAGGAUGAAGAUCCAUCAGUCUACUCAGGCGACAUCUCUGAACUGUCAGGCUACAUGCUACAUCUUUUACGAUAAGCUUUUUUUUAUAUUACAAAUCUUACAUCAUACAUGUACAUUUUAAUUAACAAUUCUCUGUUGCUGUAAAAAACAAGCAAACAUACAUAAAUAACAGUUAUAAAU
rnacentral:lncRNA from 1 species